UGGGACCGCCACUAUUUGCUACCGCCUCGUCUUCCCCUAGAAGUUUGAAAAUUUGUGUAGCAAAGAUGAAAAUUGGGAGUAAGACGGUUAAAGUAAUUAAGUCAACUAUCCAUGAUCUUUGCAAGUAAAUGCCCAUCAUGUGGUGUUGCCCUGCUCCAAACGCUUGACCACAAAGAGUUUCAGUUGCACUCGACAUUCCCAACUGCAGGAUUCCAUUGACAAAGCGGACACUGAGCGUUUGAACAAGGGCGUAGGCAGCAAGAUCCAUGUCACUAAUAUGGCCGAUAAAUGAUUGU
rnacentral:lncRNA from 1 species